ACUGCUGAAAUUGUGAAAUCUUUAGCAGACAAGAGCUUAGAUCUACAUCUGAAAAUUGAACAAAUUGAAGAAAAAAUAUUUCAUUUUUUGGAUAUAUUCACAAUUAUACAAAAUGGGAAGUAUUACACUAUUAUAUGCACUAUUAUAUACAAGAAAUCAAUAUAAACUUCUGUUAUCAUACCAGCAUGAUCCCAAGACCCAAUGAAGUACAAAAUGGUAUCUUUUAGGGGUUUUUUUUCAUAGGCUACAUAUGCAUUGUGUGAGGCAAGAGGAUAAAGACAAAGAAUACAGCUAUAUAAUCACCCAAAGGCAGAAAUAUGAUUAUAAAGAUAUAAAAUUAUGAAGGCUGUAUAUAAUAACGUUGUUAAAUCAAAGGCCAAUCCUCAUGUGAUAUCAACACUACAAAAUAGUAGUCAAUCCAGUCAAGACCAAUGGACUUAUAGUCUUAUAUAUGAUUCAAUAGUGGACAGAACUGUAAGAAAAAUCAUAAAGAAUAACUCAUGCAGGCACAUUUAUAGAAGAAAUAGUAUCAUCUUUGCAAAUUUACAAAAUGAUAAAGAUCCACUGAGUGACAUGAGAAAGUCAGG
rnacentral:lncRNA from 1 species